GUAAUUGCUUUCGUUAAUUGAUUAUUAUUGUUGUGGCCAAUAGAAUGUACACUUUUUUUCUCGUUAUUUUGUACUGGGUUAUGUAUUUAAAUAUUUGUAGCCUUUAUCCCUGUUAGUAAUACAAAAAAAGAAAACCAAAUUUAAUUAUAUUUAUUAUCUCCAGAGAUACUACAAUGGAUAUAUAUACGCUGGACAACAUGUAUGUAAUAUGUCAAUAAGUAUUGUUGAUUAUAUUUUUUAAAAUUUUAAAUGACCGACCUAUUUGUAUAAA